rnacentral:rRNA from 1 species
GACGAACGCUGGCGGCGUGCUUAACACAUGCAAGUCGAACGGAAAGGCCCUGCUUUUGUGGGGUGCUCGAGUGGCGAACGGGUGAGUAACACGUGAGUAACCUGCCCUUGACUUUGGGAUAACUUCAGGAAACUGGGGCUAAUACCGGAUAGGAGCUCCUGCUGCAUGGUGGGGGUUGGAAAGAUUUAUCGGUUUUGGAUGGACUCGCGGCCUAUCAGCUUGUUGGUGAGGUAAUGGCUCACCAAGGCGACGACGGGUAGCCGGCCUGAGAGGGUGGCCGGCCACACUGGGACUGAGACACGGCCCAGACUCCUACGGGAGGCAGCAGUGGGGAAUAUUGCACAAUGGGCGCAAGCCUGAUGCAGCGACGCCGCGUGAGGGAUGACGGCCUUCGGGUUGUAAACCUCUUUCAGUAGGGAAGAAGCGAAAGUGACGGUACCUGCAGAAGAAGCACCGGCUAACUACGUG